rnacentral:lncRNA from 10 species
GCCUGAGAGCACAGGGGGAGGGACAGUGAUUGGGAUAUAAAUACAGGCAUUUGAGCCGGCAGUGGCAACCCACUUUGGGUCCCCUCCUGUUGAAUGGGAGCUCUGUUUUCACUCUAUUAAAUCUUGCAACUGCACACUCUUCUGGUCUGUGUUUGUUCCGGCUUGAGCUGAGCUUUUGCUUGCCAUCCACGCACUGCUAAAUACCGCCAUCGCAGACCCACUGUUGACUUUCACCCCUCCAGAUCUGGCAGAGUCUUGCUGUGUUUCUGAUCCAGCGAGGUGCCCCUUGCCGCUCCCGUUCAGGCUAGAGACUAGCCAUUGUUCCUGCAUGGCUAAGUGCCUGGGUUCAUCCUAAUCGAGCUGAACACUAGUCGCUGGGUUCCACAGUUCUUUUCCGUGACCCAUGGCUUCUAAUAGAGCUAUAACACUCACCGCAUGGCCCAAGGUUCCAUUCCUCAGAAUUCAUGAGGCCAAGAACCCCAGGUCAGAGAACAAAAGGCUUGCUGCCAUCUUGGGAGUGGCCGCCACCAUCUUGGGAGCUCUAAGAACAAAGACCCACCCGUAACAUUUGGUGGCAACUGUACGGGGAUUCUCCAAAGUGACAAUGAAGAAAAGAUGCAUAACUGUCAACAAUUGCUCAAACCUACGCCACUUGAGGGGACCUUCUAGAAGUUCCCUUGACUGAUCCUGACCUCAACUUGUAUACUGAUGGAAGUUCCUUUGUAGAAAAAGGACUUCAAAAGGUGGGGUAUGCACUGGUCAGUGAUAAUGGAAUACUUGAAAGUAAUCCCCUCACUCCAGGAGACAAUGCUAGUUAUUCCUGUGAACCUCUAGAGGAUCUGCACCUGCUCUUCAAGUGACAACCAUGAGGAAAGUAACUAGAAUCGCAGAUGCCCAUGGCCCUCCCUUGUCAUAUAUUUCUCUUUACUGUUCUCUUACUCUCUUGCACUCUCACUGCACCUCUUGCAUGCUGCUGUACUACCAGUAGCUCCCCUUACCAAGAGCUUCUAUGGAGAGCAUGGCUUCCCAGAAAUAUUGAUGCCCCACUGUAUAGGAGUUUUUCUAAAGGAAACCCCAUUUUCACCACCCACACCCAUUUGCCCCUGCACUUCAGGCCAUACAUUUCAAUCCCUGUAUCUUUAACCUCCUUGUUAAGUUUGUCUCUUCCAGAAUCAAAACUGUAAAACUACAAAUUGUUCUUCAAAUGGAGCCCCAGAUGCAGUCUAUGACUAAGAUCAACCACAGACCCUUGGACUGGCCUGCUAGCCCAUGCUCCGAUGUUGAUGACAUCGAAGGCACCCCUCCUGAGGAAAUCUGAACUGCGAGACCCCUCCUAUGCCCCAAUUCAGCAGGAAGCAGUUAGAACGGUCAUCGGCCAACUUCCCCAACAGCACUUGGGUUUUCCUGUUGAGAGGGGGGAUUGAGAGACAGGACUAGCUGGAUUUCCUAGGCUGACUAAGAAUUCCUAAGCCUAGCUGGGGAAGGUGACCACACCCACCUUUAAAAUAUAGGGCUUGUAACUCAGCUUACAUCUGACCGAUCAGGUAGUAAAGAGAGCUCACUAAACUACCAAUUAGGCUAAAAGCAGGAGGUAAAGAAAUAGUCAAUCAUCUAUCACCUGAGAGCACAGGGGGAGGGACAGUGAUUGGGAUAUAAACACAGGUAUUUGAGAGGCAGUGGCAACCCCCUUUGGGUCCCCUCCCAUUGAAUGGGAACUCUGUUUUCACUCUAUUAAAUCUUGCAACUGCACACUCUUCUGGUCUGUGUUUGUUCCGGCUCGAGUUGAGCUUUUGCUUGCUGUCCACCCACUGCUAAACGCUGCCGUCACAGACCCACUGUUGACUUUCACCCCUCUGGAUCUGGCAGGGUGUCCGCUGUGUUUCUGAUCCAGCGAGGUGCCCAUUGCCGCUCCUGUUGGGGCUAGAGGCUAACCAUUGUUCCUGCAUGGCUAAGUGCCCUGGUUUGUCCUAAUCGAGCUGAACACAAGUUGCUGGGUUCCACGGUUCUCUUCCAUGACCCAUGGCUUCUAAUAGACUAUAACACUCACCGCACGGCCCAAGGUUCCACUCCUUGUAAUUCGUGAGGUCAAGAACCCCAGGUCAGAGAACAAAAAGCUUGCUGCCAUCUUGGGAGUGGCUGCCCCCAUUUUGGGGCAGCCUGCCACCAUCUUGGGAGCUCUAAGAACAAUGACCCACCCGUAACAGUUCAAUCCCCCACCAAUGGGGAUUUCUCACCUCUUUGAGGUUCAAAUCCCCCCAAUGAGGAUUUCUCACCUCUUUUUGAGGUUCAAUCCCUGAAAUUAGCAGAAGGCUCAACCCCUGAAACCAGGGGUGUCUUGCUGUGCCUGUCCUGGAAGUCUCAACCCCUCAAAUGAGGGGUGUCUUGCCUUGCUUGCCCUGGAAAUCUCAACCCUUCAAACCAGUGGGUGUCUUGCCUUGCCUGCCCUCGGAGGUCGACCUGUUUCCUCCCUUUCCCCCUCUGAAGGUCCCUUGCACACUUCCUAUUCGUGUUCUCCUCUCUGGCCACUCCCCCAAGGGAGAAUUAGGCCCCUCUUAGCAUUGGCGUGCUGGUAGAAAUCCCAUGGCAGGAUCCGCCCUAAGCCAUAUGAGGUAGUUAUGGAACUGCAGAGAGGACCCACUCACUCCAUCCAGCAGUAGGACUUGUCACCAUCCACACAACAUUGCAAGCAGAGUUGUCUGUGAUCAUUCACGUGCACACACAUUCAGCCCUCCAGAAUUUGACCACCAAGGAAGUACUUCACCAGCUCCUGCGGCUUUUCCUUCCUUGGUCUGUGCAGAGAGUACUCACCAUGGAAGUGAAAUUUUGAAGAGGAAACAUUUUGCUUUCUACAAAAACACAAUCAGCUGAAUUUGUAAUCUCCCGUAUUUUUUCUUUCACUUAUUCCCGGCCUGGCCAUAGAAGGCAUUUGAGCAUUAAUUUGGACUCCAUUCUAGAAAAAUCUUUCUUUAGCACCACAAGCCAGCUGAGGAAGUUUUCCUGAGCCCUUUAUCCAGUUGCUCUAGAAAUAAAUCAGGGACUUGGAGCCCACGUAUUUAGAUAUCUAAAUAUCUAAUACACAACUGUAUCCACACAUCUAAAUAUCUAAUACACAACCGCCAGGUGCAGUGGCUUACACCUGUAAUCUCAACAACUUGAGAGGAUGGCUAGGGCCUCCGAGUUCUGGAGUUCGAGACCAGCCUGGGAAAUAGCAGGACCCUGUCUCUAAAAAAUAUAAAUAUAUUUUUUAAAAUUAGGAGUGGUGGCAUAUGUCUGUAGUCGUAGCUACUUGGGGAGAUUGCUUGAACCCUGGAAUUCAAGGCUGCAGUGAGCUACAGUCAUGCCACUGCACUGCAGCCUGGGCAACAGAGCAAGACCCUAGCUCUAAAAACAAACAAACAAACAAACAAAUAAAAUACGCAAACAGAUGUAAGCAAGUGCUUUGCUUCAUGUGUCAGGCCUCUGAGCCCAAGCCUGCACAUAUACAUCCAGAUGGCCUGAGGCAAUCAGAAGUGCAAAAGAAGUGAAACAGCCAGCUCUUGUCUUAACAGAUUGAACAACCUUAUGACAUUCCAUUAUGACUUGUUCCUUCCCUGCCCCAACUGAUCGAUCGAUCGACCUUGUGACAUUCUUCUUCUGGACAAUGAGUCUUAUGAUCUCCCCACCAUGCACCUUGUGACCCCCUCAUAGGCUGACAAUAGAUAACCACCUUUAACUGUAACUUUCCACUGCUUACCCCAGUCCUAUAAAACUGCCCCAUCCCUAUCUCCCUUUGCUGACUCUCUUUUCGGACUCAGCCCACCUGCACCCAGGUGAUUAAAAAGCUUUAUUGCUCACACAAAGCCUGUUGGUGGUCUCUUCACACGGAUGUGCAUGACAUCAUGCACUAGCCAUUAUGUGCACUCUGCAUGCCAGUUAAAAAAGACUGAGCCUGCAGAGUUCUUCCUGGGAGUUCUUAGGAACAGGAGGCAGUGGCAUUUUCCACAUUUGGAACACAGAACUCAGGCAACUAGGAUGCACGGAGGUGCAGAGCAGCUCCAUAAGGUCUGCAGGAGCUGGCUGGGCUCUUAAGAAUUUCUCUCUGCGUCCUUCUGCAUUUUGUCAAGCUGGCUAGCUGCAUGAUAGCCAAGCACUUGAUUUUUGCCCCUCCAUUUCCCGUUGCACACCCUGUCUUUCUGGUGUGGAGUUUAACCAGACAUCAGCAUCAGGCUGUUGGUUUCCCUUGCAAAGUGAUGGCUUCCGAACCCCUGGAGUUCCAGGAAGCACAAUUUGCACACUCCAUCUUGUCGUCUACGGUAGCUACCCUCUAGUUCACAGGAUAGCAGGAUAAAGGACUUUGAGUCCUUUGGUUACAAGUUGCCACGGACAAGGGAAGUCAUUUUCCUGAACUCAAAAUACCCAUCUGUGUGUUAUCGACUGUUUUUUUUUUUCUAGAUGAAAACAACUACAUUAACAAAAACAAGAUAAAUUUAAGUAGUUCAUGGUAGGUCCAGUGAAAGCUAUAAUCCGGGGUUUUAUGUUUCAUUAAUGUUUCAAAAAUUAAGGUUUAGCAAAAAAGGUGGGAUUGGGGGCCACCAAGAAGAAAGGCAGCACUCCUCUCCAAUAACUUGGGCUCGUGAUAAAGGGGAAAGCACUUAUCCUUAAACCAGACCUCACCCCUUGAAAGAUAAUUUCUUCUCUAAAGAAAUGAGCAGGAAGGGGUGGGGCUCCCGGGCUCACAGAAUUUUAUCUCAAGACAAUGACACGGUCUAAUUGCCUGAGUAAGCAGGUUCUGAACACACUAGUCUUCAAAGCUUUGAACCUGCUUCCCUGUACCUGUUUUGAAUUUCCUCCUCUCUAACGUGUAUUUAUAUCCUGCCUAUUACAAGCUGACAAGAACAAUCACUAGCAUUAUCUGUUUCCUUUCAGAUCCUGGUGUAAUUCACUUACCUUCUUCCCACGUUUUCUUUUCCUUGCCAUCUAACCAGACUGCCUCAUAAAGAUAAAGGAAGGAGAGAGGUAGCAUCUUUGGAUGUUAUUAAGAAAAAAACAGACAAACCAAACAGGCUAUUUAGUCCUGGGUACCUGGAAGAAGUUUUUGUAAAUUCAUUCAUUAAUGUGUUCAUUCCAUUAAGAAUUUACCAGGAGGUGACUAUGAAUUGAGCCCUAUGCCAGGCAGUAGGGAUUAAAAGGAGAACAAGUCCCUUUCCCUUAAGAAACUCAGUCUAGUAGAAGACAGAGACAAACACCUUAGGUAUUUACAAGAGAGUCAGUGUAAAUAAACUUGACUGUUAUCGUGGAAAAGUAUGUAUCCAGGGUUAGGCUAAAGAAGAGGUAAGGAUGAUGUCUGCUGAUUUGACUGAAGUUGUCUAGAUUUUCUCAUUACUGACAGUUGUGUCUUAAGGACUUCCUAGAGGCAAUGCCAGGCUUUGGGUGGACAGUCAUGAUGUGUACAGGAGUCACCAGAAUGCCUUUGCUUUAUGGAUGUAUUUCUUGUUGGACUCAUUUUCCUAACAUUUGGAGGAAGGAGGAAGAGUGAAAAGCACAGCCGAGACAGAAAGUGAGUGCAGAGAGAUGUCUUAGGUCAUCAGCUAUUAUUUUAGUUGGUGCAAAAGUAAUCGCGGUUUUUGCCAUAACUUUUAAUAGCUCUCUGCUUAGGGACAAAAGAAAAGGCAACUUCUUGCAUGACUCAGCUUUCAGCUUAAUUGUUUCCUUUUGGCAGAAGGAACUGGGGUACCAAGUUUUUUUUUUCUUUUUUUCUUUUGAGACCGUGUCUUGCUCUGUCGCCCAGGCUGGAGUGCAGUGGUGCGAUCUUGGCUCACUGCAAGCGCCGCCUCCCGGGUUGAUGCUGUUUUCCUGCCUCAGCCUCCCGAGUAGCCGGAACUACAUGCGCCCGCCACCGCGCCCGUCACCACGCCCGGCUAAUUUUUUGUUUUUGUAUUUUUAGUAGAGAUGGGUUUUCACCAUGUUAGCCAGGAUGGUCUCAAUCUCCCGACCUUGAGAUCUGCCCGCCUUGGCCUCCCAAAGUGCUGGGAUUACAGGCGUGAGCCACCGCGCCCGGCCCAAGUUUUUAUUUUCCUUUCACAGCUAUUAUCAAAAACCCAGAAAAUAACAAAUGUUGACAAGGAUGUGGAGAAACUGAAACCCUGUGCAUUGUUGUUGGGAAUGUAAAAUAGUACAGCUGUCAAAAACCGUAUGUAUUCUUGUUUCCAGUUUCUUUUACCAAAUUGUGUUCAUGAGUAUAGUUUCACGUAGCUAUAAUUAGUUCAUUUUCAUCACUGUAUCGUAUCCCAUUGCGUGAAUAUGCCUUAAUUUAUUUACCUAUCCUGUAGAUUAUUUUCACUGUGGGGAAUAGAUAGAUAGAUAGAUAGAUAGAUAGAUAGAUAGAUAGAUAGACAGAUAGAUACGAAUGUACACAUGAAAUACAAAAAUACAUAUAAGUUGCCAGGCCGUGUGGGCAGAAAGAGCCCAGUGGGCCUGAGCAAAACUCAGGCAAAGGCGCCACUGGCUACAGAGGUUUCUGGCCAGAAAAGCGACACCCCAAGGAUCCUGUAACAAUGUUUUACUUACUUCAGACUCAGCUUUACCUAACUACCUUGAUGCUUUUAACGGCUUUCUUCUACUUGGCCGUGUGGUCACAGAUGUCUUGUAAAAGGCCUCGUUAGCUGCUCACAUGUCAGUGCCUCUGUUAUGCUCUCCAGCUGCUAUCUCCCCUACAUCUGGUUCAAGCGCUCUUGCUGUAGUAUAGGAGGAGGAGGAGCAAUAAUGAUAGUAAUAGUAAUAACAGGCUGGGUGCGGUGGCUCACGGCUGUAAUUCCAGCACUUUGGGAGGCUGAGGAUCCACUUUGGAUCACCUGAGGUCAGGAGUUUGAGACCGGCCUGACCAACAUGGCAAAACCAUGUCUCUACUAAAAAUACAAAAAUUAGCUAGCUGGGCACGGUGGUGCGUGCCUGUGAUCCCAGCUAUUUGGGAGGCUGAAGCAGGAGAAUCACUUGAAACCGGGAGGUGGAGGGUGCAGUGAGGCAAGAUUGCACAAUUGCACUCCAACCUGGGCAACAGAGAGAGACUCUAUCUCAAAAAAAAAAAAAAAAAAGUAAUAAUAAUAGCAAACACUUAAUGAAGUGCUUCCUAUUUGCUGGGUACCAUGCUUUUUUCCUUGGAUGAAUUUAUUUAUCUUCCUAUUUAUGAGUCAGAGACUAUGAUCCCCAUUUUGAAGAGGAGAACACUGAGAAUUGAAAAGGUUACAGAACUAGCUCAAGGAAAUAGAGAUAGUAGGUGGCAGUAUCAGGUCAGAAGCCCAGGUCUCUAAUGGACUUGCAAUUUUAAAAAUAUCUGGAUUUGUUAUUCUCAAAUUGUAAAGGCAAUAUAUUACUUGUUCCAUGAUUUUGGAACAAGUGAAACAAAACAGAGGUGUAUAAAGCAAAAACUGUCUUUCUCUUGCUCUGUCUUUUAUUUCAGUCCCUUGGGGGAACUAGUGUUAAUUGGCCUGGAACAUGCCUUUCCAUAUCUCUCUCCUUGAUCAUCUAUCUAAAAGUACACACAUAUAGAGGCAAGGUUUUUAGUUUGUUGAUUCACUGUGAAUGAAAUAAAACAAUGUCACAGUACUUGUUUGGACAAUUAGAUAUCUAUUGUCAUACCUAUAUAUCAGUAAAUAUAGAUGUAAAUAUCCCUCUCAUUUCCUGUCUUUCAUAUAAAUAUUGAAAAGUUGAGAUCAAAUCAAACAUGGAGUACUCUUUUUCACCAGUUUUUGCUUUUUCUUUUCAUAAAUGCAUCUCCUUUACACCUGCGUCACUACCACCACCAGCCUUCCCCACACUCACAGAAAAUCCAGGUGAACAAUCAUGUGAUUUCUUCCGUUUUAAAAUAAAUCAUACAGAAAUAUGUAAAAAAUACACACACACAUGAAUAAGUUCUUGGUAUUGUCUAUUUUACAGAAAUGUGAUGGAUUAUACAUGCUUCUUCAUAUACGGCUUUUCUCAGGAAUACCUCAUGGAAAUUCUUCCAAGUCAACUGAUCUGGCUCCUACUGAUUCUUUUAAGUGGCUUUGCAAUAUGGUACCUGAUAUGGUUUGGAUCAGUGUCCCCACCAAAUCCAAUGUUGAAAUGUAAUCCACAAUGCUAGAGGUGGGGUCUGGUGGGAGGUGAUUCGAUCAUGGGGGCAGAGUUCUUAUGAACUGGUUUACACCAUCCCCCUUUGGUACUGCAUAGUGAGUGAGUUCUCAUGGAUCUGGUUGUAUAUUUGUUUAUUUAUUUUAUUUUUUGAGAUCGGGUCUCACUCUGUCAUCCAGGCUGGAGUACAGUGGUACGAUCUCGGCUCACUGCAACCUCUGCCUCCCGAGUUCAAGUGAUUCUCCUGCCUCAGCCUCUGGAGUAGCUGGGACCACAGACAAGUGCCUCCAUGCCUGGCUAAUUUUUAUAUUUUUAGUAGAGAUGAGAUUUCACUGUGUUGCCCUGACUGGUCUUGAACUCCUGAGCUCAAGCGAUGCUCCCACCUUGGCCUCCUACAGUGCCAGGAUUACAGUCGUGAGCCACCAUGCCAGCCUGAGAUGUGGUUGUUUAAAAGCAUGUAGCACCUCCCUACUCUCUGUCUUCCUCCUGCUCCUGCCAUGUGAGACACUGUCUCCCUUUUAUGCCUUCCACCACAUUUGGAAGCGUCCUGAGGCCUCCCCAGAAGCAGAAGCUGCUAUGCUUCCUGUACAGCCUGCAGAACUGUAAGCCAAUUAAACCUCUUUUCUUUAUAAAUUUCCCAGUCUCAGCUAUUUCUUUCUAGCAAUGUGAGAAUGGACUAAUACAGUACCACUAUGCGAAAAUGUAUUCAGCCAUCCCCAUAAUGAUGGGUCCAUUUGUUUCUACUUUUGCCACUGUAAACCACUACCUGCAACAAAUGGCUACACUCCAGUUUGAAAUUAAUUUCUUUAUAAAAAUAUCUAAAAACUUCAGUGAUCCAAGAAGGGUUAUGCAAUUUGGUGUUACUAUCAAUAGAAAAUAAAUUAUUUAAAAAAUUAUAACCCCCCCCUCAAAACCUUCCAGUGCUUUUGCUGAAAUGAAGGCAAAAAAAAUGGUAUGGACUAGAUAUGUAAUAAUUUAUGAAUUAUGCAUAUUCCUCUAUUAUUUAUCCCAAUAUCAUCAGCUUAUCUACAGAAUAAACAUUUGCAAUAUUAAUUAGACUUGGACAUCUUUGACAUUUUGCUUACUUUUAGUAACACAAAAUAUGUAACUUUUCAUGUAUCUGUUGACUUUUGGUUCCGAAGAUGUAUUUGUCAAGGCAGAAGGAGAGAACAUUUUAUAUAACAGUUUGUUUGUUAACUUAUUGUGUAGCUUUAAUUAUUUAGACAUAUGAUAAGUAGGCCUUAAUUUGUUCUCUCAUCCAAGUUCUGCAAAUCUUUGGAAGGGACUGAUCCACUUUGUGUCCAGUGUAUGCUCACUAAUUUUUUCCCUCCUUAUUUAUUCAACACACAUUUGCUUAACAUUUUCUAUGAGCCAGGCAUUGUUGUAAGUUCAUGCAUUCAACAAACAUUUAUUGAGUGUCAUUAGAGUGCUGAGGACUAGAUUAG